rnacentral:rRNA from 1 species
GGUGAACGCUGGCGGUAGGCCUAACACAUGCAAGUCGAACGGCAGCACAGUAAGAGCUUGCUCUUACGGGUGGCGAGUGGCGGACGGGUGAGGAAUACAUCGGAAUCUACUUUUUCGUGGGGGAUAACGUAGGGAAACUUACGCUAAUACCGCAUACGACCUACGGGUGAAAGCAGGGGAUCUUCGGACCUUGCGCGAUUGAAUGAGCCGAUGUCGGAUUAGCUAGUUGGCGGGGUAAAGGCCCACCAAGGCGACGAUCCGUAGCUGGUCUGAGAGGAUGAUCAGCCACACGGGAACUGAGACACGGUCCAGACUCCUACGGGAGGCAGCAGUGGGGAAUAUUGGACAAUGGGCGCAAGCCUGAUCCAGCCAUACCGCGUGGGUGAAGAAGGCCUUCGGGUUGUAAAGCCCUUUUGUUGGGAAAGAAAAGCAGCAGGUUAAUACCCCGCUGUUCUGACGGUACCCAAAGAAUAAGCACCGGCUAACUUCGUG